GUUUGAUCCUGGCUCAGAGCGAACGUUAGCGGCGCGCCUAACACAUGCAAGUCGCACGAGAAAGGGGGCAACCCCCGGUACAGUGGCGCACGGGUGAGUAACACGUGGGUGAUCUGCCCAGAAGAAGGGGAUAACCUCUCGAAAGGGGGGCUAAUACCGCAUAGGACCACCGGGGCUUUGGCUCUGUGGUGAAAGGGGGCCUCUGUUUACAAGCUCCUGCUUCUGGAUGAGCCCGCGUCCCAUCAGCUAGUUGGUAGGGUAAUGGCCUACCAAGGCUACGACGGGUAGCUGGUCUAAGAGGAUGGCCAGCCACACUGGAACUGAGACACGGUCCAGACUCCUACGGGAGGCAGCAGUGGGGAAUCUUGCGCAAUGGGCGAAAGCCUGACGCAGCGACGCCGCGUGGGUGACGAAGGCCUCGGUUGUAAAGACCCUCGUGGGGUAGGUAACGGAACGUAGGCGAUCGGGCGUAA
rnacentral:rRNA from 1 species